rnacentral:rRNA from 1 species
AGGCGACGAUCCGUAGCUGGUCUGAGAGGAUGAUCAGCCACAUCGGGACUGAGACACGGCCCGAACUCCUACGGGAGGCAGCAGUGGGGAAUAUUGGACAAUGGGCGAAAGCCUGAUCCAGCAAUGCCGCGUGUGUGAAGAAGGCCUUCGGGUUGUAAAGCACUUUUGUCCGGAAAGAAAUCUCCUGGGUUAAUACCCUGGGUGGAUGACGGUACCGGAAGAAUAAGCACCGGCUAACUACGUGCCAGCAGCCGCGGUAAUACGUAGGGUGCAAGCGUUGUCCGGAAUUAUUGGGCGUAAAGAGCUCGUAGGCGGUUUGUCGCGUCUGCUGUGAAAUCCCGAGGCUCAACCUCGGGCUUGCAGUGGGUACGGGCAGACUAGAGUGCGGUAGGGGAGAUUGGAAUUCCUGGUGUAGCGGUGGAAUGCGCAGAUAUCAGGAGGAACACCGAUGGCGAAGGCAGAUCUCUGGGCCGUAACUGACGCUGAGGAGCGAAAGCAUGGGGAGCGAACAGGAUUAGAUACCCUGGUAGUCCACGCCGUAAAC